UCAAUUUUACGGUGCCCAGUGCAUCAACUGGUGGCUGGUACCACGUCAAUACAGGACUGAGCUGCUGCACCUGCCCUGUUGGCAAGACCGGCGCACCCUGCAAGCACCAGAGUGCAGUGGUGCAAACACUCCCACUAACAAGCACACCUCAUCUCAGGAAGCUCUUCUAUGGAACUGCUUCAGGAGGGACCACUCCAGAUGACUGGUUUGAAAGCUUGAUUUAUGAACAGCCUGUGGAGCCAAAGUCAGUGUUGGAAUCUCCUGCUCCAGCACCGAAGAUCAUCUCAGAGGACCACCGGUCCAGUGAAGAGGAGGCUGUUCACACAUCAGCUGGGCCCAGCACAGGGACAGGGUCUUUGGAGAGGGAGCUGGAUGGCAUUUUUGGGAUCCUCAAAAAAAGGACACAACAUUCGAGGCACCUCUUCAGUCAUUUGUGGACAAUUGAAAAAAACAAUGAAAACUGACAGUGCUGUCCAGUCAUCUUUGUUCUCCUAUGGAAAGACAAGCUGUGUGCCUACUAGGAUCCGUGCCACACCAAGUGGAUUUCUGCAAACGACCACUAAGAUUGGUGUGCGACCAACAGCGGUGUUGGAGCUAUUUUGCAUUUUGUUUAUUUUAGGCUUAAGUUAUAGUCUAAUGUAUUUCUUUUCUUUGCUAAAAGUUCUUUUGUUUUAUUUUGCAUUUAUGCUUAUUUUUUUGUUUACUUAUAUUGUCAUUUAUUGGUCACGUGGUGCUACGUUAAUUUGCAUAAAUAGGUCAUGGUGGGAGGAGCCCGGCAGAGGCUGCGAGGGCAUAUGGGUUUUACCACAGUGUGAGAGAGGCAGCAGGAAAUAUCUGUGAGCUUGCUUAUAUGUGAAAAUAAACCUCCUCGAACUCAUCCUUUGCUAUGGACAUUAGUUUAUUUUGGUACCUCUAAACCAUGCGUAAAGCCUAAAGCAUGACGUAGCCUCAGUGGCCAUUUGAGAAGUUUGGUAUUAUUAGUUUUGUCAGUGUUUAAGGACAAAUAGCCGCUACAAGCGGUGUGCGACCAACAGCGGUGUCGCGCCGAAAGGCAGCUUUGGGGAGGAAGAAGAGCUCUGGGAGCUGGCAGACCUCCAAAGAUCUCCAGGAAAGACCACCCUUACACAAAGGGAGGAAGAGCAAAAGCUGUGCCCCAUAGCCUGUCCAAUUGUGUGCAGGAGAACACCUCCCUGGGGAAAACCCACUAGGUGCACACACACCUACCCUACCUAAAUGUCCAUAACAGUUCUCUUAAUCAGUUAUUGAUCAGUUCUCUCUCAAUCAGUUUGGUUUGUUUAAGUUCAUGGUUCUGUUGCUAGUUUUUACAAAUCUAGACAAAACCUGAACUAAUACAAAUACUUGUAAGCUAUCUUAUUUUUUUUUUUUAUUGAGUAUUUGUAUUUACAUUGGAUGUGAGUUCAGAUAAGUGUAGUAUAUUAGUGUCGACGUAGUUGUUUAUAAAAGGCUUUCCACUCUUACUGCACAACGACUGACUACUAAGAAUCUAACUGUGGCCAAUCAACACUAAUGGCAGGCAUAUGUGUCAAAGAUGACAUUUUGACUCCUGUUUUGUUUAAUGUAUGCAUGUAUUCAACAUAACUCUACCUAAUAGGUACAAUACAGGCUAUGUAUAGGCCUACUGUAUGAAUUGUGUUAUCAAUAUGGUCAUUCUGAGUGGUUAUUAGGCUACUGAUCUAAGUCAAAAUGUUCUGAUGAUGAAAUGAGUGAUGACCUAUAAGCCUGCCUUUGAUGUCUUUCCUAACCCUAGGAAUAAAUAUUGA